rnacentral:rRNA from 1 species
AGGGUUUGAUCCUGGCUCAGGACGAACGUUGGCGGCGUGCCUAAUACAUGCAAGUCGAACGAAGUCGCCCAAUUGAUUCUUAGUGCUUGCACUAAGAUGAUUUUGGAUCCGACUGAGUGGCGAACUGGUGAGUAACACGUGGGUAACCUGCCCAGAAGAAGGGGAUAACACCUGGAAACAGAUGCUAAUACCGUAUAACAACAAGAACCACAUGGUUCUUGUUUGAAAGCUGGCCUUUGUGCUAGUGCUUCUGGAUGGACCCGCGGCGUAUUAGCUAGUUGGUGAGAUAAUAGCUCACCAAGGCAAUGAUACGUAGCAGACCUGAGAGGGUAAUCUGCCACAAUGGGACUGAGACACGGCCCAU